rnacentral:tRNA from 2 species
GCCCUCGUAGUUCAAGGGAUAGAACCACGGACUCCUAAGCCGUUGAUGGCCGUUCGACUCGGCCCGAGGGCA